UUUUGAAGCUGAACAGUGGUGGC
rnacentral:piRNA from 1 species